rnacentral:lncRNA from 1 species
CUACCGUUGAGCCAGAAGUGACGGCGAAAACGCCCGUUCAUCCGCAGGACCUGGACUUCAACAUUCCUCCCCAAGAAGCCACUUCGACCUUCGUAAGUAACCCUACCGCUUUCCUUGGUUAUUUUCUGUCUUAGAACUCUAAACCAGGAAAAUAUUAAAUGUCAGGUGCCUGCCCACUCUUUUCAUCGAAAAUUUUACGCGCCGAAGGGUGUUAUCUAUAUUU